UACAGAGGUCCCAAGCGUUGUUCGGAUUCACUGGGCGUAAAGGGUGCGUAGGUGGUGAGGUAAGUCCGAUGUGAAAGCUCCGAGCUCAACUCGGAAAUUGCAUUAGAAACUACCUUGCUAGAGGGUUGGAGGGGGGACUGGAAUUCUCGGUGUAGCAGUGAAAUGCGUAGAUAUCGAGAGGAACACCAGUGGCGAAGGCGAGUCCCUGGACAACUCCUGACACUGAGGCACGAAAGCUAGGGGAGCAAACAGG
rnacentral:rRNA from 1 species